GCGUCGGCGAUCAGCUCGCAUCUCGUGUUGCAACUCACGUCGCAUGCUGUUAAUCCCAUGCAGGAUUUCUUGAACCUGCGGCGGCGACAUCAUAGGCGCCGGUGGCGGUGGCUGGUACUGCUGCGGCUGCGGUGGCUGUGGCUGCUGGUAACCCGGAGGGUAACCAAAAGUAGACUGCCCAGCAGUCCAAGUGUCUCCAAAUGGACCACUAGGUGGGAGCGAGCUGUAGUUUACAGCUUGCCAAUAAGGGUCUCCUGUGUAAUCGUAACCCUGGGGAAAACCUGCUCGAACGGGUUAAACUGGGCUGCGCUCGCGUAAGCCGGAAUCGGCUCUCCGUAGUUCUGCGGCGGCAGAGGCGGGAUCGGUACUGAAGUGACCUCCGAUACGGGAUGCGGAGACUCUCCCGUCUCGGACUCCUCGUGAAGAGGCGUGUAGCGGCUGCUACCAACAUGUGGAGGGGUGCCUAUGCGAAUCCCUCCGCGCGUAGACAUACGCGCAUUCCUCCUUGGCCUCUGAGGCGGAGGAGGUAAAACUGGUGGCGGCGGUGGCGACGGAGUGAUCACGUCGCGCCAUAGGGCCUCAGAUAGGUCCUGCUGUAGAGGCGGCUGCUGCUGAAGCUGCUGCUGCUGAGAGUGGUGCUGCGAGUGCACCGGCGAUCCAUGGUGAGACUGGAGCAUCGGAGAG
rnacentral:lncRNA from 1 species